GACGAACGCUGGCGGCGUGCUUAACACAUGCAAGUCGAACGGAGUUAAGGAGCUUGCUUCUUAACUUAGUGGCGAACGGGUGAGUAACGCGUGAGGAACCUGCCUCUCAGUGGGGGACAACAGUUGGAAACGACUGCUAAUACCGCAUAAAACUGUAGUACCGCAUGGUACAUCGGUCAAAGAUUUAUUGCUGAGAGAUGGCCUCGCGUCUGAUUAGCUAGUUGGUGGGGUAACGGCCCACCAAGGCGACGAUCAGUAGCCGGACUGAGAGGUUGACCGGCCACAUUGGGACUGAGAUACGGCCCAG
rnacentral:rRNA from 1 species